rnacentral:sRNA from 1 species
UUACUGGCUGUAACAUAGUCUUCUCCCGA